GCUCUUAGAUUAGCAAGCGGCGUGUGGUUUGGUGUUAGGAUGGACGUUGUGAGGAUUUAUUAGUAUAACGGGAUCUUAUCGGGUGAUGCUUAAUGGUGCUUGGUCCUGUUCGACACAUAUGGAUGAUCAGACCAAAGUUGUGGUAUGUCAAAGGAUGAACGAUGUACAUGUGCGUCAGAGGGGAGAGGGACAGCUGACCAGGGAGCAGUAAAUACAGCAAGCAUUAA